rnacentral:rRNA from 1 species
AGAGUUUGAUCAUGGCUCAGAGCGAACGCUGGCGGCAUGCUUAACACAUGCAAGUCUCACGGGCAGCAAUGUCAGUGGCGGACGGGUGAGUAACGCGUAGGAAUCUGUCCUUAGGUGGGGGAUAACUGUGGGAAACUACAGCUAAUACCGCAUGAAACCUGUGGGUCAAAGGCGCAAGUCGCCUGAGGAGGAGCCUGCGUACGAUUAGCUAGUUGGUGGGGUAAGAGCCUACCAAGGCUACGAUCGUUAGCUGGUCUGAGAGGAUGAUCAGCCACAUUGGGACUGAGACACGGCCCAAACUCCUACGGGAGGCAGCAGUGGGGAAUAUUGGACAAUGGGCGAAAGCCUGAUCCAGCAAUGCCGCGUGUGUGAAGAAGGUCUUCGGAUUGUAAAGCACUUUCGACGGGGACGAUGAUGACGGUACCCGUAGAAGAAGCCCCGGCUAACUUCGUGCCAGCAGCCGCGGUAAUACGAAGGGGGCUAGCGUUGCUCGGAAUGACUGGGCGUAAAGGGCGCGUAGGCGGAUUGUACAGUCAGAUGUGAAAUUCCCGGGCUUAACCUGGGGGCUGCAUUUGAUACGUAUGGUCUUGAGUGAGGAAGAGGGUUGUGGAAUUCCCAGUGUAGAGGUGAAAUUCGUAGAUAUUGGGAAGAACACCGGUGGCGAAGGCGGCAACCUGGUCCUUUACUGACGCUGAGGCGCGAAAGCGUGGGGAGCAAACAGGAUUAGAUACCCCAGUAGUCC